UCCAGGUGUGGGCAGUGAUGAUGCAGAUGCUCUCGACUUCCCUUUUCCACCUGGGGAACUGUUCCUUCUCCUACAUGCUCCUGUUGGUUUCCUCUUCCCCACUCCCUUUUCCCAACAGCCACCAGGCUUGAUCCUGUGCUUCCCUUGGAGCAAAGUCAUAGUCUGUUGGGUGCUCUUUGGAUCUUGAUUGAGUUCCUGGAGGGCCAGACACCCUCUUGACUUCCCCAGCAGAGAUCCCUAUCCAUCUGUCUGGUGUAGAGUAUGAUGGCACCAGGAUAUGUGGCUAUAGAGGCUAUAGCUUCUUAUGUUUUCUUGCUUAUGUUAACACAAAGGGCUUUCAUUUGAAAGAGAUGGAAACAGUAAGACUUGGCCUAAUGAAGUUGUUUGUGGAACAUGAAGAUACAGGCAGAAAACAAGAGACUAUGCAUAGGCAACCUUCAGCACUUGAGUUACGGCUUACUGUACCACAGCUUCUUGCCUCUGCUACCCUGGCCUCUGCUGCUGUGGCAUAUUUGCCAUGGACCAGGCAUGCAUACACACAUUAAACAAGAUUUCAGAUGAUCUGAAUUCAUCCAUCCACUCCUACGGAGAUGACAUGGCUUAGAGCAUAACACUUCACUUAGCCACUGACCCACUGCAGGGUUUUGGUAGGGGUGUUCUGUAUUCCUAUAUGUUCAAAGUGCCUAAAGGUGGUGAAAAGAAAUCACUACAGUUAUGAGAGGCUGCAUGGCAUGUUUCCCAGCAAACCAGGCUUCUCCACAAAGGGUAUUUCUCUGUGAUACCUUUCUUCUGUCUUUCUUAUUCUGCUCACAAUAAGUCAUAGACCAAUUAUUUCUAGCUGGUGUUUGUAUCAAUGGGAAAUGAAAUGUGUAUCUCUUCACCAGAGCAAUGAGAGGGGAAAAAUAACGAGCCAAACGUACAGUUAACUCCUUUUAACUUCUUUUCAUAGGUAGCUGAAUGCAUUUCACUAAUUUAAUCUAGUCCUAAGUGCUGACUGUAUUUUACAGAGAUGUAUUUUAUGUAUUAUGGAUAAUGAGAG